rnacentral:rRNA from 1 species
UAGGAAUCUGCCCAAUAGUGGGGGAUAACCCGGGGAAACCCGGGCUAAUACCGCAUACGCUCUACGGAGGAAAGCGGGGGGUCGUAAGACCUCGCGCUAAUGGAUGAGCCUACGUCGGAUUAGCUAGUUGGUAGGGUAACGGCCUACCAAGGCGACGAUCCGUAGCUGGUCUGAGAGGACGAUCAGCCACACUGGGACUGAGACACGGCCCAGACCUCCGUACGGGAGGCAG